rnacentral:rRNA from 1 species
AUUGAACGCUGGCGGCAGGCCUAACACAUGCAAGUCGAGCGGAUGAAGGGAGCUUGCUCCUGGAUUCAGCGGCGGACGGGUGAGUAAUGCCUAGGAAUCUGCCUGGUAGUGGGGGAUAACGUCCGGAAACGGGCGCUAAUACCGCAUACGUCCUGAGGGAGAAAGGGGGGGAUCUUCGGACCUCACGCGAUCAGAUGAGCCUAGGUCGGAUUAGCUAGUUGGUGGGGUAAAGGCCUACCAAGGCGACGAUCCGUAACUGGUCUGAGAGGAUGAUCAGUCACACUGGAACUGAGACACGGUCCAGACUCCUACGGGAGGCAGCAGUGGGGAAUAUUGGACAAUGGGCGAAAGCCUGAUCCAGCCAUGCCGCGUGUGUGAAGAAGGUCUUCGGAUUGUAAAGCACUUUUAGUUGGGAGGAAGGGCAGUAAGUUAAUCCCUUGCUGUUUUGACGUUACCAACAGAAUAAGCACCGGCUAACUUCGUG